rnacentral:lncRNA from 1 species
CCAUAUUUUUCAACAAACAUUACAUAUUUGAAAGAACAAACACACCGGAAGUAGCAGCCAUGACCAAGUAAUAAAAUGAGUUGUGGGGGAAGAAAUGAGAAUACUACCAGGUGUAUCAUAAUGCAGGCUGGUGCAGCCUCUGAUGUUCUCGAGGCCUCUUCAAAGAUGGACGGUAAGAGUAGUCUCCUGCCGAGAUAACCCAAAACACUGCCUUUCUUCGAGCACAUGAUCAGAUGCUGAACCUUCAUCAGCAUACAUUACUUAAUUUUUGAAAUUUGUUUUAACUCCUUGGACAUUCAUCUUGAGCAAUGCCUAUGACUUUG